UCUACCGCAGUGCAUUCGUCGCUGCGUUCGUGCCUGUUGUGUGCGCUGCAACCUCGCCUUUGAAAGGACGACAACCUUGCUUUUCAAUUACAAGUUUAAUGUUUGUUUAAGACGAUGGACACAUUGCAAAUGGCGGCAGGAGUGGAUCGGCUACAUCGGUGAAGCGACGAUUUAUAUUACAAGCGAGGCUAAUUGUAUUCUUUCGUUAUAGGUGAACGUGGGACUGUAUCGACUGCAAGGACUUGAUUUACAAGAAGCUGUAAUAUUCUAGCAUUAACGUUUGAACAAUACCAGCGUGAUGUUCACUUCGGUUUCUUUACAGGUAGUGUCCUGUCUCAACGGUCACGCAUAUGCCUGCAAAACUGCAACUGCUUCUCACAUCGAAGAGUGGUCUGGUGCCACAUGCUCGGACAAUUAUUCGUCGGCCAUUUCGUUUGAGGAACUGUCGUGUUCGUCACUAAGGUUGAUCUUGGUUGAGCUUUACAGUGCCAGCCUGGUGCAUCGGAGGGGUUGUGUCCAUGCAACGUGUGCUCCAUAUGUGUGUGCUGGGAUUAGUGAACCGUGUAUGCUUUCCAUUCGGCCAACAAUGAUGUACUGGAUGAAAUUUAGAGGUAUGUGCACGCCAAAAAAAUUUGGUGUUUCAAGUUCAAUGUUCUUGGUGCAUUUUUUCCCCCAUUUUCUUCUUCAUUUUUCUUUUUUUUUCUUUUUGCGAAGCCUGGAGAUAAUUUUCUGUUAGAGAACUCGAGAGGCAUAAUGUGUCCCGCGUAUUAAUUGGUACAAGUAUUCCUUCAUUACGUCCGGUACACUGUGGCUCCUGGCGUCAGCAGCGAUGUCGUACCAGUUGUUUCAGGGGGCACAGGACACCUACAGCUUUCGCAGGCUUCCUCUUGAAGUCAUCUGGUGCACUUUUUUUAGAAAUGUGCCAGUUGAUCAGGCUGCACCUAUCCGUCAAUGGGUUUAGAAUGUACAUUGUACCUAGACAUACUUGUCUGAAGUUUGGGUUUCUGGCUUUCACAGCAUUUUGCAGCCUCUGUGAAGAGUCGUUGCAAGUAGUAAGCAGCAGGCAGGUCGGGAAAAAUCUGCUGUGCCUGUUUAUUACUCACUACCUGCAGCAUGCCGCAGAAAGCAGCGAAACCAUGAAACCCAAAUGACAGACAGUAUGUCGCCAGCAGUACAUGUCCAGCUCAAUAUGACUUUUUUUCAGAGCAUUCAAGAAACCUGUGAAGCGAAAAAGCCGCUGCUCCUUGCUCGCUCUUUCGCUGCUCCGUGAGGGCACAUUAAGCUUUGGCACACUUUGAUAUACUGGCAUCAGGAGUUUUAAAGCAGUGUUGCCCAGCAGGACUUUACAUCAUUCUUGUUGAAUGUUUCUUUUAAGACCCCAGAACUAAGGGAGACCGAGCUUUGUUAUGCAAUGCACAAAGCAGGUGCUUUGUAUUCUGGCAAGCAAGAGAUUCAUGCCAUAUAUAGCUUCGGUGGUAAUAACGGUUCUAGUAUUGAUAUGUGGUGUUUGUCUGGUUUGCCCUCAUUAGCAGUACAAAGGAUUGUAACUGCGGUAGCAAUUUGACCUCAAGCACUAUGAAAUAAAGAACCUGUAUACUUAA